AGUGAACGCUGGCGGUAGGCCUAACACAUGCAAGUCGAACGGCAGCACAGUAAGAGCUUGCUCUUACGGGUGGCGAGUGGCGGACGGGUGAGGAAUACUUCGGAAUCUACUUUUUCGUGGGGGAUAACGUAGGGAAACUUACGCUAAUACCGCAUACGACCUACGGGUGAAAGCAGGGGAUCUUCGGACCUUGCGCGAUUGAAUGAGCCGAUGUCGGAUUAGCUAGUUGGCGGGGUAAAGGCCCACCAAGGCGACGAUCCGUAGCUGGUCUGAGAGGAUGAUCAGCCACACUGGAACUGAGACACGGUCCAGACUCCUACGGGAGGCAGCAGUGGGGAAUAUUGGACAAUGGGCGCAAGCCUGAUCCAGCUAUACCGCGUGGGUGAAGAAGGCCUUCGGGUUGUAAAGCCCUUUUGUUGGGAAAGAAAAGCAGCAGGUUAAUACCCCGCUGUUCUGACGGUACCCAAAGAAUAAGCACCGGCUAACUUCGUG
rnacentral:rRNA from 1 species